ensembl:rRNA 5_8S_rRNA 5.8S ribosomal RNA
AACUCUUAGCGGUGGAUCACUCGGCUCGUGCGUCGAUGAAGAACGCAGCUAGCUGCGAGAACUAAUGUGAAUUGCAGGACACAUUGAUCAUUGACACUUUGCGGCCCCAGGUUCAUCCUGGGGCUACUCCUGUCUGAGGGUCG